rnacentral:rRNA from 1 species
AUGUACAUUCUUAUAGCAUAGCGUUAAUGCAACAGAUCCCAUUAGAACUCUAUAGUUAAGCACACUCAGGCUAGAAUAGUAUUGGGAACGGUGACCACCCAAAAAGUCUUAGUAUUUUACAUU